ensembl:lncRNA
UGGGGAGGGCUGGGGAAGGGAGAUAGAGCCAGGUAUAAUUUGCCAUGCAGAUAUCAGCCGCCGCGAGCUGACGUCAGGAGCCAGGUCACAGGAGUCCUUGACUAAGCACCAUGCAAAGUUAGGUAGCUGGGGGCCCGCCAGGUGCCCCCUCCCCUACCCCGCCUACCCGCACCCUAAGGUUCCCAGCUGAGAAGCUUCCAGACACCAUCAACUGCACGAGCCAUCCCUCCUGCCCUGCCGGAGAGUGACCCAUGCUUUGGUCCCCAACAGCCACCUGGUGGAGGGGCCCUGGGGACAGCCGGACCAAGGGUUCUGAAACCCCUCCGGACAGCGGGAGGGGGGCUGGUGGGAAGGGUCUUGGGUCUUUCUCCUUAUGAUCGAGUGGGUUUGCCAAGCCCCUUGGGCUCGUUUGGGAGGAAAGUCCGGUGUCUGGGGAGGUGGGAGGAGGCUGACCAGGCCCGGGGUAUAGGCAACCGGAGGAGAGGGCCAGCUGCAAUGAACCUCCCGGUUGUGCCCCACUUUGGGGAGGGGGAUGAAAGUGCAAACCAUGGUCCCCUUUUGGGCCGGGAGGCACCAGGGAGGGGGUGUUGCUCCAGGAUGUAAGGCACUGGCAGAGGAGGUGUGUGUGGGGGGGCACACCGGCUUCCCCAGAUCCCACCCCUGCGCCACAGCAUGGCAGGAUGCUGGGGGGAUGCCCAGCUCUGCCCCUUGGGCCCACUUGGGGCGGGGGUCCCAUCUCUCUAGCUCCCAGGGAGGCAUAGCAAUGAGGGGUCAGCGACGGGAGGGACCAGGUUUUGGGGGAGGAGGGCGGAGGAUGCCCACGGCCACUUGCGUCCCAGCUGGACAAAGGGGAGGGGGGCGGGCGGUGGGAAUCAGGCACUUAAACCACUCGCUCUCACCUCCCACCUCCAUGGGCUAAGUGGGGGGUCCUCCCCUUUCAGGGCUUGGGUGGAAGGAGAGUCAGAGGGGUGCCCCCUUGGGAGCUCUGGGUCUCUCCCCUCCACCGCCCCCAGCCCCUUCCUCGGAAAGUGCAUUUCUUACAGUGUGUGCAACUCGGAGCCCUCCCCCCCUCCCCCAGGGGUGUGGAGCCGGGGCUGGGGUGCGGUGGGGUGGCCUCCUAUGCCUGGGGUGGGGCUGGGGGUCAUUUGCAUAGAGACAUCUCCCAAACCGGGUGGCGUGGGGCUUCGCGAAAGACCAAGUCCCCAGUGCGCUCUGGGGCAGGCGGAGGUCCAUGACUACAGGACACUCCUGAGAGUAUUGGCCACGUGUCCUGGGCCCCUGGCGACGCCCGGGGUCUCCCCACAACCCUCUUCUGCCCUCGUCACUUCCCUGCCCACCUCGGCCUCCAUGGUAGCCUCCAAUGCCUCCAAUGCCCGCUGCUGGGGUCCUCCACGGCCCUGGCCCCGUGGGGCCUGCCUCCCCACUUGGCAAACAGUCGCAGGGGCCCAGCUGAUGUCCAGUGGAGAGGUGGCCUCGCUGGGUGUACCGCCCUGUUGGCCGGGCGCGGGCACCAGGCUGCGCUCACCUGGUCCUGGGCAGAGGCGGGAGCGGCCGUCCCUCCCAGAGCAGCAGCAGCGAGAGGAGAUGAAUAACUUAGGGAGGCCCCUUCGCGCCGGCUCCCAGGGGUGGCAGGGCCUGGCCCUCUGGUCCAGUCCAUCCGGCCGUGGCUUCCCAAGAGUCCGAAGCGU